AAGACCUUGCGCUUUUGGAGCGGCCGAUGCCUGAUUAGCUUGUUGGUAAGGUAAAAGCUUACCAAGGUUUCGAUCAGUAGCUGGUCUGAGAGGACGACCGGCCACACUGGGACUGAGACACGGCCCAGACUCCUACGGGAGGCAGCAGUGGGGAAUUUUGGACAAUGGGGGCAACCCUGAUCCAGCCAUGCCGCGUGAGUGAAGAAGGCCUUCGGGUUGUAAAGCUCUUUCAGCCGGAACGAAACGGUUACGGUUAAUACCCGUGACUACUGACGGUACCGGAAGAAGAAGCACCGGCUAACUACGUGCCAGCAGCCGCGGUAAUACGUAGGGUGCGAGCGUUAAUCGGAAUUACUGGGCGUAAAGCGUGCGCAGGUGGUUUUGUAAGUCAGAUGUGAAAGCCCCGGGCUCAACCUGGGAACU
rnacentral:rRNA from 1 species